AGCAGCCGCGGUAAUUCCAGCUCCAAUAGCGUAUAUUAAAGUUGUUGCAGUUAAAAGCUCGUAGUUGAAUUUCGGGAUCAAUUCGUCGGUCGUGCUUUUUGGUACGUACUGGUGUUUAUUGGUUUCUCCCUUCUGACGAACCAUGAUGUCAUUAAUUUGGUGUUAUGGGGAGUUAGGACUGUUACUUUGAAAAAAUUAGAGUGUUUAAAGCAGGCAUUAGCUUGAAUACAUUAGCAUGGAAUAAUGAAAUAGGACGUUCGAUCCUAUUUUGUUGGUUUCUAGGAUCAACGUAAUGAUUAAUAGGGAUAGUUGGGGGCAUUAGUAUUCAAUUGUCAGAGGUGAAAUUCUUGGAUUAUUGAAGACUAACUACUGCGAAAGCAUUUGCCAAGGAUGUUUUCAUUAAUCAAAGAACGAAAGUUAGGGGAUCGAAGACGAUCAGAUACCGUCGUAGUCUUAACCAUAAACUAUGCCGACUAGGGAUCGGAUGAUGUUAAUUUUUUUAAUGACUCAUUCGGCGCCU
rnacentral:rRNA from 1 species